rnacentral:rRNA from 1 species
CCUACGGGUGGCAGCAGUGAGGAAUAUUGGUCAAUGGGCGUAAGCCUGAACCAGCCAAGUCGCGUGAGGGAUGAAGGUUCUAUGGAUCGUAAACCUCUUUUAUAAGGGAAUAAAGUGCGGGACGUGUCCCGUUUUGUAUGUACCUUAUGAAUAAGGAUCGGCUAACUCCGUGCCAGCAGCCGCGGUAAUACGGAGGAUCCGAGCGUUAUCCGGAUUUAUUGGGUUAAAAGGGUGCGCAGGCGGAGGUGCAAGUCAGUGGUCAAAUGGCGGGGCUCAACCCCGUACUGCCGUUGAAACUGCAUCCCUUGAGUGCGCGAGAAGUAUGCGGAAUGCGUGGUGUAGCGGUGAAAUGCAUAGAUAUCACGCAGAACUCCGAUUGCGAAGGCAGCAUACCGGCGCGCAACUGACGCUCAUGCACGAAAGCGUGGGUAUCGAACAGGAUUAGAUACCCCAGUAGUC